rnacentral:rRNA from 1 species
UACGUAGGGUGCGAGCGUUAAUCGGAAUUACUGGGCGUAAAGCGUGCGCAGGCGGUUUUGUAAGACAGGCGUGAAAUCCCCGGGCUCAACCUGGGAACUGCGCUUGUGACUGCAAGGCUAGAGUACGGCAGAGGGGGGUGGAAUUCCACGUGUAGCAGUGAAAUGCGUAGAGAUGUGGAGGAACACCGAUGGCGAAGGCAGCCCCCUGGGCCGAUACUGACGCUCAUGCACGAAAGCGUGGGUAGCAAACAGGAUUAGAUACCCUGGUAGUCCACGCCCUAAACGAUGUCAACUAGGUGUUGGGUGGGUAAAACCAUUUAGUACCGUAGCUAACGCGUGAAGUUGACCGCCUGGGGAGUACGGCCGCAAGGUUAAAACUCAAAGGAAUUGACGGGGACCCGCACAAGCGGUGGAUGAUGUGGAUUAAUUCGAUGCAACGCGAAAAACCUUACCUACCCUUGACAUGUCCGGAAUCCCUGAGAGAUUGGGGAGUGCCCGAAAGGGAAUCGGAACACAGGUGCUGCAUGGCUGUCGUCAGCUCGUGUCGUGAGAUGUUGGGUUAAGUCCCGCAACGAGCGCAACCCUUGUCGUUAAUUGCCAUCAUUUGGUUGGGCACUUUAACGAGACUGCCGGUGACAAACCGGAGGAAGGUGGGGAUGACGUCAAGUCCUCAUGGCCCUUAUGGGUAGGGCUUCACACGUCAUACAAUGGUCGGUACAGAGGGUUGCCAAGCCGCGAGGUGGAGCCAAUCCCAGAAAGCCGAUCGUAGUCCGGAUCGUAGUCUGCAACUCGACUGCGUGAAGUCGGAAUCGCUAGUAAUCGCGGAUCAGCAUGUCGCGGUGAAUACGUUCCCGGGUCU